rnacentral:rRNA from 1 species
AUACAUACAUUAUCACAAUACAGGAAAACCGGGGUAGGGGGAACUGAGUGCCUGCAUUUUAUUUUGUGGUCCACAUGUGUUAAUAGCAUGUGUUAGCAAGGGCCGGGGAGACCGGGGCCAGCCGCCGCGGUACCACCGGCUAGGGGGUGGGGCCCACUAUUAUUGGUGCCUAAAGAGCCCGUCGCGGUUUUGCCCCGGUUUUCGGGGAAAUCAGGACCGUUCACUUUUUGGGUUCCCGCGGUAUCCUGUGGGAUUUGGGCCGGGGUGAAAAAAAGAGACUCCCAGGGGGGGGGGGUGAAUUUUUUUUACCCGUGGGGGGGCCUCAAGGGGGAGGGGGAAGUACAAAAAUGGGCCUGACAGUUUGGGAGGAAAACUGAUCAAACGAACCGGUUUGCAUCCCCGCAAGUACUAGCGGUAACGUUGGUCCCGAGGGGGUUUAGGGCGGGGCGACCGUUGAGGUGGCCGCGGGCAACCGAGAAGCGGCCCACCCGGAAGUACCC